CUUGCACGCUGGCGGCAUGCCUUACACAUGCAAGUCGAACGGGAACGGGCCUUCGGGUGCCGACGAGUGGCUAACGGGUGAGUAAUACAUCGGAACGUACCCGAUCGUGGGGGAUAACGAGGCGAAAGCUUUGCUAAUACCGCAUACGAUCUACGGAUGAAAGCAGGGGACCGCAAGGCCUUGCGCGGACGGAGCGGCCGAUGGCAGAUUAGGUAGUUGGUGGGAUAAAAGCUUACCAAGCCGACGAUCUGUAGCUGGUCUGAGAGGAUGAUCAGCCACACUGGGACUGAGACACGGCCCAGACUCCUACGGGAGGCAGCAGUGGGGAAUUUUGGACAAUGGGCGCAAGCCUGAUCCAGCCAUGCCGCGUGCAGGAUGAAGGCCUUCGGGUUGUAAACUGCUUUUGUACGGAACGAAAAGCCUUCUUUUAAUACAGGAGGGUCAUGACGGUACCGGAAGAAUAAGCACCGGCUAACUACGUG
rnacentral:rRNA from 1 species